GUUGGCUCCUAGCAGCAGCGUUCUACUUCCUCCAAAGAAGAUGGAAGACAAAUGGGCACAGAACAACGUCCAUCUGUAAUUUGUUUCAACUGCCAAGUACUGACCACUGGGUGAAACUGCCUUUUAUCUAAACUGAAGAUCUCCAGACGUGGACAGAAUUGCUGGAAUCAACCGCCUAGCUGCUCAGGUCAAGGACCCAACUGUGGCCGAGUCUCAGUAGUUUACCCUAAGGCAAUACCUGGUUCCAAGAAAGACCACAAACUGAGACUACCCAGGAACCACCCAGGAGCAGACCAUCCACAGGAGAUUCCUAGCAUUCCAACGUUGUAGAUAGGAUCACCUGCCAGCACACACCCAUUAUUUUCAUCAGGACACCCCCACCUUCGCUACUAUAAAAACCCAACCCUAACUGAGCUUGGGGCUCUCCGAUUAUUCCAAUAUGUUGGGCACAUGGAGAGACCGAGUUUGCAAACUUAUGUAAGAAUAAAGGCUUUUUGCUUUUACA